rnacentral:rRNA from 1 species
GACGAACGCUGGCGGCGUGCCUAACACAUGCAAGUCGAACGGAAAGGCCCUGCUUUUGUGGGGUGCUCGAGUGGCGAACGGGUGAGUAACACGUGAGUAACCUGCCCUUGACUUUGGGAUAACUUCAGGAAACUGGGGCUAAUACCGGAUAGGAGCUCCUGCUGCAUGGUGGGGGUUGGAAAGUUUCGGCGGUUGGGGAUGGACUCGCGGCUUAUCAGCUUGUUGGUGGGGUAGUGGCUUACCAAGGCUUUGACGGGUAGCCGGCCUGAGAGGGUGACCGGCCACAUUGGGACUGAGAUACGGCCCAGACUCCUACGGGAGGCAGCAGUGGGGAAUAUUGCACAAUGGGCGGAAGCCUGAUGCAGCAACGCCGCGUGCGGGAUGACGGCCUUCGGGUUGUAAACCGCUUUCGCCUGUGACGAAGCGUGAGUGACGGUAAUGGGUAAAGAAGCACCGGCUAACUACGUGCCAGCAGCCGCGGUGAUACGUAGGGUGCGAGCGUUGUCCGGAUUUAUUGGGCGUAAAGGGCUCGUAGGUGGUUGAUCGCGUCGGAAGUGUAAUCUUGGGGCUUAACCCUGAGCGUGCUUUCGAUACGGGUUGACUUGAGGAAGGUAGGGGAGAAUGGAAUUCCUGGUGGAGCGGUGGAAUGCGCAGAUAUCAGGAGGAACACCAGUGGCGAAGGCGGUUCUCUGGGCCUUUCCUGACGCUGAGGAGCGAAAGCGUGGGGAGCGAACAGGCUUAGAUACCCUGGUAGUCCACGCUGUAAACGGUGGGUACUAGGUGUGGGGUCCAUUCCACGGGUUCCGUGCCGUAGCUAACGCUUUAAGUACCCCGCCUGGGGAGUACGGCCGCAAGGCUAAAACUCAAAGGAAUUGACGGGGCCCCGCACAAGCGGCGGAGCAUGCGGAUUAAUUCGAUGCAACGCGUAGAACCUUACCUGGGUUUGACAUGGAUCGGGAGUGCUCAGAGAUGGGUGUGCCUCUUUUGGGGUCGGUUCACAGGUGGUGCAUGGCUGUCGUCAGCUCGUGUCGUGAGAUGUUGGGUUAAGUCCCGCAACGAGCGCAACCCUUGUUCACUGUUGCCAGCACGUUAUGGUGGGGACUCAGUGGAGACCGCCGGGGUCAACUCGGAGGAAGGUGGGGAUGACGUCAAGUCAUCAUGCCCCUUAUGUCCAGGGCCUCACGCAUGCUACAAUGGCUGGUACAGAGAGUGGCGAGCCUGUGAGGGUGAGCGAAUCUCGGAAAGCCGGUCUCAGUUCGGAUUGGGGUCUGCAACUCGACCUCAUGAAGUCGGAGUCGCUAGUAAUCGCAGAUCAGCAACGCUGCGGUGAAUACGUUCCCGGG